GCCUUGGUGGUGUAGUGAUAACACACGCCCCUGGUAUGGGUGAAACGCGAGAUUAACUCCCGCGUGAGGUC